rnacentral:rRNA from 1 species
AACGUAGGUGGCGAGCGUUAUCCGGAUUUACUGGGCGUAAAGGGUGUGCAGGCGGGCGACCAAGUGGUGUAUGAAAUAGCCCGGCUUAACCGGGCGAGGUUAUGCCAGACUGGUCGUCUGGAGUGCGAGAGAGGGGCGUGGAAUUCCGGGUGUAGUGGUGAAAUGCGUAGAGAUCCGGAGGAACCCCAGAGGCGAAGGCGGCGCCCUGGCUCGCAACUGACGCUCAGACACGACAGCAUGGGGAGCGAACGGG